AUUGAACGCUGGCGGCAGGCCUAACACAUGCAAGUCGAACGGUAACAGGAAGAAGCUUGCUUCUUUGCUGACGAGUGGCGGACGGGUGAGUAAUGUCUGGGAAACUGCCUGAUGGAGGGGGAUAACUACUGGAAACGGUAGCUAAUACCGCAUAACGUCGCAAGACCAAAAAGGGGGACCUUCGGGCCUCUUGCCAUCGGAUGUGCCCAGAUGGGAUUAGCUAGUAGGUGGGGUAACGGCUCACCUAGGCGACGAUCCCUAGCUGGUCUGAGAGGAUGACCAGCCACACUGGAGCUGAGACACGGUCCAGACUCCUACGGGAGGCAGCAGUGGGGAAUAUUGCACAAUGGGCGCAAGCCUGAUGCAGCCAUGCCGCGUGUAUGAAGAAGGCCUUCGGGUUGUAAAGUCCUUUCAGCGGGGAGGAAGGGAGUAAAGUUAAUACCUUUGCUCAUUGACGUUACCCGCAGAAGAGGCACCGGCUAACUCCGUG
rnacentral:rRNA from 1 species